AGUUACUGCCACCCUCUCCCAGGUCUAGAGAGGGGUACCCACGGUGGAGGGAGGUGGGAGGCCGAGACGGCCCCGGGGGUCGGCGGAGACCCAGCGGGAGCAGGGGGAAAUCGGAAGAGCUGGGGGCAUGGAGCGGGCGAGUUUGGAGCGGAAUGAGCCGGGAGCCCUACGUUGUGGAAGGAAGACAACAGUAUAGGACCAUCAGCAGGACCGGACAGAGAGGGGCACCCCUGGCUGUCCUGGAACUUGUAGACCAGGCUGGCCUUGAACUCAGAAAUCCGCCUGCCUCUGACUCCCGAGUGCUGAGAUUAAAGGUGUGCACCACCACACCCGACAAGGAAGCCUGUUUUAAGAAGUGAUUCCAUGGAGGAGUUCUGCGGCGGCUCAGGGCUUGACUAAACAGUGGACCUCAGACAAGAGAGGCUAAACCAGGCUGCAGGUGACAGGAAGAAUUGAAUAAACUGAAAGCAAAGGGCAGCCUUCUAAUUACGCUUCGUGGCUAUGUGGACAACCUGGAGAAGUCUGGAAACCUUUCCUCCUCCAUUUUACUACUUGAGGGAGCAGUGGGUGGGAUACUAGAAGCCAGAAGCCCGAAGCCAGCAGUAGAGCUCUGACUGGCUUGUAUGCCUAGAAAGGAAGGGCUCUUCUUUCGCCUCACGGGCACAAAUGGGACCCACGAGCGCCGAUUUCAGACUAUUCUGAUCCCUUCAAAAAGAAAGUUAGGAGUCCAGGCUACUGUGAGUGAAUUUGAUUCUAAUUGUUUCAGAGAAUAUGGAAUAAAAUAUCUCAUUUGCA
rnacentral:lncRNA from 1 species